rnacentral:rRNA from 1 species
GACGAACGCUGGCGGCGUGCCUAAUACAUGCAAGUUGAGCGCUGAAGGUUGGUACUUGUACCGACUGGAUGAGCAGCGAACGGGUGAGUAACGCGUGGGGAAUCUGCCUUUGAGCGGGGGACAACAUUUGGAAACGAAUGCUAAUACCGCAUAAAAACUUUAAACACAAGUUUUAAGUUUGAAAGAUGCAAUUGCAUCACUCAAAGAUGAUCCCGCGUUGUAUUAGCUAGUUGGUGAGGUAAAGGCUCACCAAGGCGAUGAUACAUAGCCGACCUGAGAGGGUGAUCGGCCACAUUGGGGCUGAGACACGGCCCAAACUCCUACGGGAGGCAGCAGUAGGGAAUCUUCGGCAAUGGACGAAGGUCUGACCGAGCAACGCCGCGUGAGUGAAGAAGGUUUUCGGAUCGUAAAACUCUGUUGGUAGAGAAGAACGUUGGUGAGAGUGGAAAGCUCAUCAAGUGACGGUAACUACCCAGAAAGGGACGGCUAACUACGUG